UACGGGGGGAGCAAGCGUUGUUCGGAUUUACUGGGCGUAAAGGGCGCGUAGGCGGCCAGCGCAAGUCAGUUGUGAAAUCUCCGGGCUUAACUCGGAAAGGUCAACUGAUACUGUGCGACUAGAGUGCAGAAGGGGCAACUGGAAUUCUCGGUGUAGCGGUGAAAUGCGUAGAUAUCGAGAGGAACACCUGCGGCGAAGGCGGGUUGCUGGGCUGACACUGACGCUGAGUCGCGAAAGCCAGGGGAGCGAACGGG
rnacentral:rRNA from 1 species